rnacentral:rRNA from 1 species
UGGGAAUUUUGGACAAUGGGCGAAAGCCUGAUCCAGCAAUGCCGCGUGUGUGAAGAAGGCCUUCGGGUUGUAAAGCACUUUUGUCCGGAAAGAAAUCCUUGGCUCUAAUACAGUCGGGGGAUGACGGUACCGGAAGAAUAAGCACCGGCUAACUACGUGCCAGCAGCCGCGGUAAUACGUAGGGUGCAAGCGUUAAUCGGAAUUACUGGGCGUAAAGCGUGCGCAGGCGGUUUGCUAAGACCGAUGUGAAAUCCCCGGGCUCAACCUGGGAACUGCAUUGGUGACUGGCAGGCUAGAGUAUGGCAGAGGGGGGUAGAAUUCCACGUGUAGCAGUGAAAUGCGUAGAGAUGUGGAGGAAUACCGAUGGCGAAGGCAGCCCCCUGGGCCAAUACUGACGCUCAUGCACGAAAGCGUGGGGAGCAAAACAGGAUUAGAUACCCUGGUAGUCCACGCCCUAAACGAUGUCAACUAGUUGUUGGGGAUUCAUUUCCUUAGUAACGUAGCUAACGCGUGAAGUUGACCGCCUGGGGAGUACGGUCGCAAGAUUAAAACUCAAAUGAAUUGACGGGGUCAUAGCUG